rnacentral:rRNA from 1 species
GUGGGGUGACGGCGUGCCUAUCGAAAAAUGAGUCUGCGAGUCAGUGGUGCGUGGCGAGGCUAACCCGUGGUGGGGGAGCCGUAGCGAAGGCGAGUCUCAAAAGGCGUUUUGAGUCGCGCGCCCUGGACCCGAAGCGGGAUGAUCUAGCCCUGGGCAGGUUGAAGCGCGGGUAAGACCGCGUGGAGGACCGAACCCACCUGGGUUGAAAACCGGGGGGAUGACCUGGGGCUAGGGGUGAAAGGCCAAUCAAAUUCCGUGAUAGCUGGUUCUCUCCGAAAUGCAUUUAGGUGCAGCGUCGGUUGAUUGCAUCGCGGGGGUAGAGCUACUGGAUGCUUGCGGGCCCGUGUCGGGUACCAAUAGCAGCCAAACUCCGAAUACCGUGGAUGUGUAUUCCGGCAGUGAGUCGGCGGGGGAUAAGCUCCGUCGUCGAGAGGGAGACAGCCCAGAUCGUCGUCUAAGGUCCCGAAGCGUGUGCUAAGUGGGAAAGGAUGUGGAGUCGCAUAGACAGCCAGGAGGUUGGCUCAGAAGCAGCCAUCCUUGAAAGAGUGCGUAACAGCUCACUGGUCUAGUGGUUCCGCGCCGACAAUGUAGCGGGGCUCAAGCACACCACCGAAGACGCGGCAACGGUCGUAUGGCCGUUGGGUAGGAGAGCGUCCCGCGUGGGGCGAAGCGGCCGGGGAACCGUGCCGUGGACCGCGCGGGAGUGAGAAUGCAGACAUGAGUAGCGAGAGACGGGUGAGGAUCCCGUCCGCUGGAUGACCAAGGGUUCCGGGGCCACGUUCGUCGUCCCCGGGUGAGUCGGGUCCUAAGGCGAGGCCGACAGGCGUAGUCGAAUGGAUGAACGGGUGGAUAUUCCCGUACCGGCGGCGUACCGUAAGAGCCGAACGGAUGAGUACUAACCUCCGGUCGCGUGGCGUCGUUCCCUUCGGGGUUCGGGGUCCGCGGUCGUUGGGAGCGUAGUCCUGGUAGGCUAGCGCACAGGGGUGACACGGAAUGGGAGCCGGCCGCGGAGGUGGUUUUCCGUGGUCAAGCACGCAGCCCGUCCCAUAGGCAAAUCCGUGGGACGCAUAGGGUGAGGUGUGAUGAUGGGCGUCCUUUGGACGCGAUAUCCGGUGGUCCAGGCCGUCGAGAAAAGCCUCGGCGCGAGGGGCGUCGCCGCCCGUACCCCAAACCGACACUGGUGGUCAGGUAGAGAAUACCAAGGCGAUCGAGCGAAUCCUGGUCAAGGAACUCGGCAAAUCACUCCCGUGCCUUCGGUAUAAGGGAGACCCCCGGGCGUGAAGAGGCUUGCCCUCGGAGCGUUGGGGGGUGGCACAGACCAGGGGGUAGCGACUGUUUACCAAAAACACAGGUGCAUGCGAAGGCGCAAGCCGCUGUAUAUGCACUGACGCCUGCCCGGUGCCGGAAGGUUAAGAGGAUCCGUCAGCCCCUUUUGGGGUGAAGCGGUGAAUUCAAGCCCCGGUAAACGGCGGUGGUAACUAUAACCAUCCUAAGGUAGCGAAAUUCCUUGUCGGGUAAGUUCCGACCUGCACGAAUGGCGUAACGACUUCCCCACUGUCUCGACCAGGAGCUCGGCGAAAUUGCAGUACGAGUAAAGAUGCUCGUUAAGCGCAGAAGGACGAAAAGACCCCGGGACCUUUACUAUACCUUGGUAUUGGCGUUAGGCGCGGAUUGUGUAGCAUAGGCGGGAGGCUUCGAAGCAUGGGCGCCAGCCCGUGUGGAGCCGCAAGGUGAAAUACCGCUCUGUUCUCGUUUGACGUCUAACCUCGAACAGUCAUCCUGUUCAGGGACAGUGCCUGGCGGGUAGUUUAACUGGGGCGGUUGCCUCCCAAAGAGUAACGGAGGCGCUCAAAGGUCCGCUCAGCCCGGUUGGCAAUCGGG